UACGUAGGCAGCAAGCGUUGUUCGGAGUUACUGGGCGUAAAGAGUGCGUAGGCGGUUUUCUAAGUUUGGUGUGAAAUCUCCCGGCUCAACUGGGAGGGUGCGCCGAAAACUGGAAGGCUUGAGUAUGGGAGAGGUAAGCGGAAUUCCUGGUGUAGCGGUGAAAUGCGUAGAUAUCAGGAGGAACACCUGUGGUGUAGACAGCUUACUGGACCAUCACUGACGCUGAGGUACGAAAGCGUGGGUAGCAAACAGG
rnacentral:rRNA from 1 species